CGGCUGAAUCUGGAUUAUCUGGCAAAUACCCUCAUGAAUUUUGGUUUCAUGAAUCUGAGAAUAUAAUUGCAUUUCGAUAACGCAUUCAGCUUGC
rnacentral:tRNA from 1 species